rnacentral:lncRNA from 1 species
AUGGAAGUCAACCCAGAAAAGAAAAUCAUCCUCAAAUCCAUCAGAUCUCUAAGUGCUGACAUGAGCACUGUGUCUUGAGAGAGAAUGGACCCUUUGGAUGGGAAAGCACACUUCUCUCUGUGCCUGGUGCUUCUUAAGCAUCUACACAUUUGCCGAAUUAAAACUUCUGAUUCAUCAAACUCUAACUUCACAAGCAGCUUUUCUGGUUUCUCAUUGCUGUUUCUAAGGAGCACACAGAUAGAUGUGCUCCACCAUGAAAGGAAGGGGCCCCGGGGUCUUCUCAUCAGAGGGGGCAUUGCGACCUCACUUCCUUGGCGACAGGUCCAAACAGAACUCGGAACCCUGGAGUCACUGGGCACCACAGUCCAGCGACGGCUGCCUAACAGUCACUUGGCUGGAGAGAGUCAGCAGCGAUCACGCUGUGCUGCUUUCCCAGGCCUCGAGGCCUCAGCAAUAGGACCCCGCGUCAAGAUUGGGGCCCAACGGGAGGAGAGCUGGGCAGAGGACUGCAUGGUGAGGACGGCGCUGGCAGGCAUGCAGCGCCCCCUGAGGGAGCCCCCCUGAAUGGGACUUCCUGGACAGCUGCCCCAUCCAUGCAGACUCCCUCCUGGACCCCUCUGGGGCCUGCAUUCCCGCCCUGCAGGAGGGGAUGGUGCGAAGAUGUGGAUCCACAGCAGUGCAAGAGAAGCCCAGGAGCGUCAUAGACACCGGGCAGCACAGCGCUGCAGAGGUAAAGCCUGAGAAGAGGUGGGCGGGACAGAUGCCCACUGUCCCCGACGUCUCAGAUCGUUACAGAGCAGUGGCCCUGUGCCCUUGAGUGUAGCACGCACAGACACCAGACUCUGUCCUCAUGCAGCUGACAGUGGGGACGGGUGGGCAGACGGUAUGUUGGGCUGCCCUGGACAAGGCAGAGGCGGUCGCACCACAGAGCACAGAGCCUCCUGUUAGGCUCUUGGGCUGCCUGGGCCAGCACUGCCCCACUGGGCAUGGAGAGGGUGGGGCUGGAGCACACGCAGCCGGGCCAGGAGGCCUACCUGUCCAUCUCUGCAUGUUCCCUGGGCAGGCAGCAUGGGAGGAAAGGCCAGGCCUCACACUCUGCCUCCUACCUGCCUUUCCGGUCCUCCUUUUUGGUCCUCCACUUCUUGGUGGAGCUGCACUCCCAGCUGAACUCCUGGCCCAGGUGGAGCAAGCUGAGCCCACUAAGGCACAGCCCACGGGACCAGCUCCAGCCCCAGCUGAAGUCCCAUGUGCAGAGCCCAAGCCAGCUCCACCUGCAGCUUCCUGCCCAGUGCUGGGACCACAGCCAGAGUCCGUGGCAGCCCCUUCACCUGCUGCAGUGCUGGGGUACCCGGUGGUUGCACGGUGGUCAGUGUCACCUCCUGAGCUCCGCCUGGGGCCAGCUCCUGGCCCCCUCCCACUGUUCCCCUCACUUAUGCUGGCUCUUGUUUUGGUAUUUACAAUUGCCCUUAUUUCUUGGAUUUAUAUAAAUAAUAGAACUAGCUUUUAAUAAAACUUAAAAUUUUAGUAUUUAAAAGGGUCAGCAUGGUGGCCUGAAGUGCCUUCUCCUUGUGUGUGCCCAUCCCCAGAGCACUGUGCUUGGUGGCUCCUGCCCACACCCCUGGCC